CCACACAGAUGGUAUGUAGCAAUCAAUGGAGGCAAAAUAAGUAAAGGCAACCCAGAGGGAGAAUCCUCAAGCAAGAAACAGCCAAAAAGAGGUGAAGCAAACUACCUGCCUAACUUACCUGAAGGACAUGAUGAAACAAGCCUUGAAAAUGCCAGAAUGGUUCUAGUGGAAGAAAUGAAGAAAAAACAACCAAAUGGCACUCUCAUUUCACAAAUGAUGGACCAAUCAUUCCCACUACGCAGACAAGAAAUUGUAAAAAAGGAGCCUGCUGUACAGACCAUGGUUGAACGAUGGCCAGCACUCUUUACAGAGAGACAGGUGUUUGCUGAGUUUAAUAGAAUCACCAGUAAGAAUCUUGAGGGAGACUUCUUUGAGGCUCUGGACCCGUAUGCCCCACGUUUCAUCUAACUUUUCAAAACGAAAAAGGGAACUGUUGGCCAGAAACUCAGGGAGCUGAUGCAGCACAUGAGCUGGAUGACACCAGAUGUGACAGUACUUCGCUCUGUUGUCCUCAAAGGCAUUCCCAUUUUACUCGGUGACGACUCCAGUGAAUUCUACAAGACCUGCUCUGAUACAGCGAGAGACGAGGCCCUAGAAUGCAUCACCAGUGAAGAUAGUCCUCACGAGGGUCAAAGCUCAGUGGACCUCUCACACUCAAUACACUCAACUUCAUUCAGACUGUGAUGCUUGGACUGGGAAAGAAAAAACUCCCACCAAAACUGUUAACGCUGAAGAACAGUCUUCUGGGUUAGAACAGUAAAGAGCUUUCAGCUGUCAGAUAGCACUUUGUAAGCUUUGCAGCCAUUAAUGUUCUCCUUUUAUCAGAGAAAGUUUGAUGCUUUCAUGCAACUGUUCUCGCUUAUUUACGAUCUCAAUUAAAAAAAAGAAAAAUCCCAUUGAAUUUUGAAUGUGAAAAUUUAACAUUGAUUCUAUGUUAUGCAGGUAUGCUAAUGGUGGAAAUAGAGUUGUUUGCAAAGAGUUGUUAGUUGUUAUUAGAUGAUAAUGUCAGAAAAGAACCUCGCAAGGUUGUCCUGUUUACAUUUGUGUUUUGAGAAAACUUUUAAUAGGUGUAAUGUAGUACAAAUACAAACCCCAAGGAGUGAUGUUUUUCUUUGGGUUGGUUUAAUCUUUGGACUGUUCAAUUUGGGAAACAAAAUCAUUUGUUGUACUUUCAGUUUUGAUCAGAAAUACACUGAUUUUGCAUGCACUGAAGUC